CUCGGAACGAACUCUGUGCUCCCUCGCACAGCUCAAACUCCUCUGCCUCCAACUGGGAAGCGAAGCGCGGUCUCUCCAGCAGCUGUGGGAUCCUGAGCACCGCAUCGCAGCCUCCGCGGGCCAGCUUCUGGGGAGCCCCCAGAGAGAACAACAGCAGGCUGCAGAGGCAGCCGCCAGGGCCGCGGAGGAGGAGGCCAGACGGAGGGGGCGCCUGGCAGGCGAGUACGCAGCAGCCCUCGGUCACCAGCUGGUGCUCCUUCGCCAAGACCUCCGUGCAAGGCAGGAGCAGUGGGGCUCCUUCUGCUCGGCGCUGAUGGCCGCUCGGCGGCUGCUGAAAGCACAUUCAGGCUCCAGGCCCGCAAAGUCCUCCCAGGCUGGGCAGAACCCAGAAGGGGAAGUCCCCCAGCUGGACGCUCUUCUGGGCAGCCUGUCCCAGGUCGUGCUGCAGGAGGGCCACCGCCUGAAAGCCUGGGGCAUCCUAGGCACAGGCACUGGGGCGGAGCUGCUGCAGCCAGCCUCAGCAAGCUCUCCAGGGGGUGCCAAAAACAUCGGUGUGCAUCCUGUCACCAAGUUGAUGGUCCCUGGCCCGGACUGUGUGAUGCUCCCAGCCAGUGGCCAGGCAGCGCCCAUACCCCAAGGCUACUUCAUCCACCCUGACACGGGGCGGGUGCUGCCCGAGGCUGGAAAUCUGGGUUACGAUGUGCAGGAAGCAACCCUGGUGCCCACCACUGACUGCAGUUCUGGUGGUGUCCGAACCUCAGAAGCUGCCAUCCUCCCCUACGUGCCCUACCCAACCUGUCUUGCCACAGGCUCCCUGCCAGCCACCCGCCUGCCUGUCCUGCAGCCGAGAAGGACAUCACAGUCAGGGGCUCUCAUGACAGACCCCAUAACGGGCAUCGAGGUGCCUGUGCUGGCUGUGACUCUGCACCCACAAACAAGGCAGUGGCUCACUCUUGGGGGGACAUACUGCAAUCCGCUCACCCAGACCCUGGCCCCUUUGGAGCUGGGGGGCCCCAUGGAGGAUCCUGUCACAGGAGGCAUCUCGCCAAUCCUGGGAGUCGGGUUGGAUGAAAACACAGGUCUGCUGGCAGCCCUCGUGCCUUCCUUCUGCCCUUCCUCCCUCUGGUUUGGCUUCCCAAGCCCCUCCCCUCAGUAGCCCAGACCCUCCACAUUCUGGUCCAGUCUUCAGCCUCCACCCCAAGCCCACCUGUAUUUCCACCCUUCAUGCUCUGGCCACCUUUCCUCUCCUUCCCGGUUUCCCUCACCCUCAUCUUCAGCACAGUGCCCCCGCCCCGCCCAGGGUGGGAGGCAGAGACGAGAACUGAGCUGCUUCUGCAGUAAAAGCAUAUGGAUGUUUUUCCAUCAAGAAAGACAUUCCUUCUCCCCUCUGCCCUCCCUUCUCCCCUCUGCCCUCCCUCACCCUAGACUCUGCCCCAUCCCUGACCUCCACCCGCAUCCUGUCACUCACUCUGUCCUGGCCCCCCGGUUCUCUCUUUUGCCUCAUUCACCCCCAUCCCUUCCCGCAUCCCCCUCUCUCUGGUUCCUGCCUCCAGGUCAGGUGCUUGCACUGGGAGGACUGCAAGAUGCCUCGGGGAACCUCCUGCUGCCUGGUGACAGCUUUGUGGAGCCACUGAGCAGGAAGCCAGCCCGGCUCCAGGGGGCUUCCCUACAGGAGGGCCGGACUGUGCCCCAUACAGGAGGGCCCCAGGACCUGCUGGAUGCCAAUGUGCUGGCAGCCCAGAGGCGAGUGAUUACAGUGCUCCGGAGCUCCCAGGAGAGGCCAGGGCCGAGGGGACAGGGGCUCCUGGAGGCUGCUAUCAAGGACAUGAGACAGGCGCUGGCCCUGAGCCUGCACCACCUCCUGCAGCAGGCCUGGCGGCUGCAGAGACAACAAGAGGCAGCAGAGAGCCUGGAGGCCAGCGGCGGCAGGAUAGGUACGGCUCCCCGGCCUCGAAAGCCCAGAACCAGAACGACCUGGUGCUUUACUGUCCCUCAGCCCAUAAGCUCAGAGACAGGCCUGCAGCUCCAUUGGCCAGUCACACAUGGGAUCGAGGGAAGAGAAAGAAUUUGGUGACUUCAUGCUGUGAGCUCAAGAAUGCUUGGCUUUCAAUCUCAGUCUUUUAACCUCUGGCCAAUUCCACUGGGUCUUAUAUUUG
rnacentral:lncRNA from 1 species